UCUUGUCUACACUUAUCAACAUCUAAUUUUAAUUAGUUUAUGUCCGUGUUUAAGGAAAUCGUAGGAAUGUGAAAAUAUAUGACCUACACUCUAUACCACGACAUAACAGAUGGCAUUUUCCUUGCAACAGUUAAUUAAAACAUUACUUAAGAAAUCCCGUGAAAACAUUAUUCACCGCGUAAAGGUUGGUUCAGUUUAAAAAAAUCUAGGUUUCACGACUCUCAUGCACUCACCAGUGAGGCCAGCUCUAAUGUAAGCUAGUGACAGACAAGAGGAUUGGACAUGGAACCACCAAUUUCAACCUCUUCAUUUUACCACAAUGAAAAUCAGGAAGCUUCAAUGGGAAUCAUGAUUAAUAGGGAUUCAGAACUCAUGUUCAACUGAAAGAACGCAGGGCAGAGGUCUCAUAUCACUAUAUUCAAUCCAAACUUCAAAACGCAGAGCAGAGGCAAUUGAUAAAAAGGUUUUGGGGAAA